UUGUCAGUCUGUGUCCACAAUCACAACACGUCUGCUGAGCUGAUCAUCACUGUAGCCAGCAGGUGGUGAGCUGAUGACCGUUCAUAAUGGAGGAAAUGAACAUUAAAUCAGCUGAUAAUAGAAAGGGACGAUGUGUGUCCCCUCAGUGUCCAGUCC